AUUCCUGGUUGAUGCGUUCCUGGAUGAAUGCAAGGUGGAUCAGCAUGAACACACAAAAGAAGGAUCAGAGAAAUCCACAAAGUUGUGUGUUUGGCUUGAUGAGGACAAAGAUGGUCAACCUCUGCCAAAAAGAAGUAGAGCUGGGGAAAAACGAAAGCGAGAUUCAGCCACUGUUUCUUCAGCAAGUGAAAAACCCUCCUGUUCUCACUCUCAAGACACAACUGGAGAAAAUGUGACCAUCG